rnacentral:rRNA from 1 species
GUAGGUGGCAAGCGUUGUCCGGAAUUAUUGGGCGUAAAGCGCGCGCAGGCGGGUUCUUUAAGUCUGAUGUGAAAGCCCACGGGCUCAACCGUGGAGGGUCAUUGGAAACUGGAGAACUUGAGUACGGAAGAGGAAAGCGGAAUUCCACGUGUAGCGGUGAAAUGCGUAGAGAUGUGGAGGAACACCAGUGGCGAAGGCGGCUUUCUGGUCUGUAACUGACGCUGAGGCGCGAAAGCGUGGGGAGCAAACAGGAUUAGAUACCCUGGUAGUCCACGCCGUAAACGAUGAGUGCUAAGUGUUAGGGGGUUUCCGCCCCUUAGUGCUGCAGCUAACGCAUUAAGCACUCCGCCUGGGGAGUACGGCCGCAAGGCUG